rnacentral:rRNA from 1 species
UACAGAGGGUGCAAGCGUUGUUCGGAAUUAUUGGGCGUAAAGCGCGUGUAGGCGGCUUGUUAUGUCGGGUGUGAAAGCCCCCAGCUUAACUGAGGAAGUGCGCCCGAAACUGGCAAGCUUGAGUGCCGGAGAGGAUAGCGGAACACCCGGUGUAGAGGUGAAAUUCGUAGAUAUCGGGUAGAACACCAGUGGCGAAGGCGGCUAUCUGGACGGACACUGACGCUGAGACGCGAAAGCGUGGGGAGCAAAC